rnacentral:rRNA from 1 species
UACGUAGGGGGCAAGCGUUGUCCGGAGUUACUGGGCGUAAAGCGCACGCAGGCGGCGGCUUAAGUGUCGUGUGAAAGCUCCCGGCUCAACCGGGAGAGGCCAUGGCAGACUGGGUCGCUGGAGCGCCGGAGAGGUCUCUCGAAUUGCUGGUGUAGUGGUGAAAUGCGUAGAGAUCAGCAGGAAGACCAAGGGGGAAGCCAGGAGACUGGCCGGCAGCUGACGCUGAGGUGCGAUGGCGUGGGGAGCAAACCGG